GGAUAGGAGGGCUACCUGACUGCUACGUCUUCUCCUCAUUGGUCGCCAGGGCUGGUUCGGAUGAUCUGGCUGGCUAGGCGGUGUCCCUUUCCUCCCUCACUGUUCCAUGUGUGUCCCUCCCAAAGCCAUGUGCUCAGUUGGAGAGUAUGCCUUUCGCUGGUAGAGGAGGACUGCUCCUCAGUCAGGCAUAGAUGAGGAGCUGUGCUCCCUUGCUAGACCCUCCAAAUAAGCUUCCAAGGUCCUGCCUUCUUUGGGGGAAAAAAACCAUCAUAACAGUACUUGCUUGUAGUGUUCCUAUGAAGUUUGAAUGGGUUAAUGCAU
rnacentral:snRNA from 1 species